AUUGAACGCUGGCGGAAUGCUUUACACAUGCAAGUCGAACGGUAGAGGGGGCAACCCCUUGAGAGUGGCGAACGGGUGAGUAAUAUAUCGGAACGUGCCCAGUCGUGGGGGAUAACGUAGUGAAAAUUACGCUAAUACCGCAUACGAUCUAAGGAUGAAAGCGGGGGAUCGCAAGACCUCGCGCGAUUGGAGCGGCCGAUAUCAGAUUAGGUAGUUGGUAGGGUAAAGGCCUACCAAGCCAACGAUCUGUAGCUGGUCUGAGAGGACGACCAGCCACACUGGAACUGAGACACGGUCCAGACUCCUACGGGAGGCAGCAGUGGGGAAUUUUGGACAAUGGGCGCAAGCCUGAUCCAGCAAUGCCGCGUGCAGGAAGAAGGCCUUCGGGUUGUAAACGUAGCUUUUGUUACGGAACGAAAAGGUUACGUUAUAAUUACUAGGAGCUC
rnacentral:rRNA from 1 species